GCUCUCGUGUGAGCGCGGCCCCGCGAGUCCCCGCCGGGCUCGGGGAGGCUGCGAGAGGGGAGCGCCUGACGUGGCCAAGGUCUUCCGGCAGCGCGGCCUCUCCCGCCGUCGCGCUCCGGCCCAGGGGUGGGGGGCGCACCAGGAGAGAGCCCGUCCGGAGUGGGCACUGGCGGUGGGGGGGCUGCUGUCCAGGGGCUCGCUGGCCACGCUGCGCCGGUCCCCUUAACAGAGCUGCGCGUCUUCGAGUGGGGCUGCAGUCGGGUCUCGAUGGGCAGUGGCCUUGGGCGGUGGUGGAAGACUCAAUAAAGCCCUGGGGCAAAGCUGGGCGAGGACAAGCAGGUGGCAGGCCUGGAGCCCCCCAGUGACAGCGGGUUCGCUGAGACCCUCCGAUGUACUGCUUAUGGCUGUGAACAUGCAUUUAAGAUGCCUGAGAGAACAUAAUGCACCAGCGACACUGUAAUGAUGACCAUCAGGAGGAUAAUACCGAGAGACUUAGCCAGGACCCACAGACCAAACCAGUCGGUGUCAAAUAAAUCAAAGGAAGUACCUGAAGGGGCAUCAAUCUA